rnacentral:rRNA from 1 species
UAUCGAUAUGUGAAUACAUAGCAUAUCAGAAGGCACACCCGGAGAACUGAAACAUCUUAGUACCCGGAGGAAGAGAAAGAAAAUUCGAUUCCCUUAGUAGCGGCGAGCGAAACGGGAAGAGCCCAAACCAACAAGCUUGCUUGUUGGGGUUGUAGGACACUCUAUACGGAGUUACAAAGGACGACAUUAGACGAAUCAUCUGGAAAGAUGAAUCAAAGAAGGUAAUAAUCCUGUAGUCGAAAAUGUUGUCUCUCUUGAGUGGAUCCUGAGUACGACGGAGCACGUGAAAUUCCGUCGGAAUCUGGGAGGACCAUCUCCUAAGGCUAAAUACUCUCUAGUGACCGAUAGUGAACCAGUACCGUGAGGGAAAGGUGAAAAGCACCCCGGAAGGGGAGUGAAAUAGAACCUGAAACCGUGUGCUUACAAGUAGUCAGAGCCCGUUAAUGGGUGAUGGCGUGCCUUUUGUAGAAUGAACCGGCGAGUUACGAUUUGAUGCAAGGUUAAGCAGUAAAUGUGGAGCCGUAGCGAAAGCGAGUCUGAAUAGGGCGUUUAGUAUUUGGUCGUAGACCCGAAACCAGGUGAUCUACCCUUGGUCAGGUUGAAGUUCAGGUAACACUGAAUGGAGGACCGAACCGACUUACGUUGAAAAGUGAGCGGAUGAACUGAGGGUAGCGGAGAAAUUCCAAUCGAACCUGGAGAUAGCUGGUUCUCUCCGAAAUAGCUUUAGGGCUAGCCUCAAGUGAUGAUUAUUGGAGGUAGAGCACUGUUUGGACGAGGGGCCCCUCUCGGGUUACCGAAUUCAGACAAACUCCGAAUGCCAAUUAAUUUAACUUGGGAGUCAGAACAUGGGUGAUAAGGUCCGUGUUCGAAAGGGAAACAGCCCAGACCACCAGCUAAGGUCCCAAAAUAUAUGUUAAGUGGAAAAGGAUGUGGCGUUGCCCAGACAACUAGGAUGUUGGCUUAGAAGCAGCCAUCAUUUAAAGAGUGCGUAAUAGCUCACUAGUCGAGUGACACUGCGCCGAAAAUGUACCGGGGCUAAACAUAUUACCGAAGCUGUGGAUUGUCCUUUGGACAAUGGUAGGAGAGCGUUCUAAGGGCGUUGAAGCAUGAUCGUAAGGACAUGUGGAGCGCUUAGAAGUGAGAAUGCCGGUGUGAGUAGCGAAAGACGGGUGAGAAUCCCGUCCACCGAUUGACUAAGGUUUCCAGAGGAAGGCUCGUCCGCUCUGGGUUAGUCGGGUCCUAAGCUGAGGCCGACAGGCGUAGGCGAUGGAUAACAGGUUGAUAUUCCUGUACCACCUAUAAUCGUUUUAAUCGAUGGGGGGACGCAGUAGGAUAGGCGAAGCGUGCGAUUGGAUUGCACGUCUAAGCAGUAAGGCUGAG